AUGAAAGAUAUGUCUUUGUAUCCGUUGCUUAAUGGCAACAUCGACAGAAAGCACCGGUGCGCCCUAUUGGAAGCGGGCAACAACUUAGACGUGUUGGUCACUCGUACCCCAAAGACUAACUGGCUGAUACACGAUUCAUGGGUUGAUAGGUUAAGUUGGGCUGGACUUCUACCCUUGGCACGGCUGGUUCAGGGUACAUUGGAUGAGUGGAUUGAUGGUCCGGACUUAGAUGAGGCAGAUAGAUGGAGGCCAGAGACACAUACGUUUCACUUCCCAUGGGGAGAGAUGGCGCCUACUUUACAGGAUGUGUUGUACUUGUUGGGAUUACCUCUGGCCGGUGCUGCCAUAGGUCCCUUAGAGGCAGAAUCAGGGUGGCAAACAGCGAUGCAGACCCGUUUUUUGGCUGCGGUCCCGACUGCUAGGGCCAUAGACAACGAUCCUCAUGGACCUCUUUUUAGAUGGUUGAGCCAGUUUCAGAUUGUCUCGUUAGGACAUCCCAAUGUUGAGUUCUCGGAGGCACAGAUUGACCGGUCCUUAGAGGCAUAUAUUCUUUGGCUGUUCGGCAAGACGAUGUUUACGGAGAACCACGUGACCACUGUCGAUGCACGACUCAUCGGUAUUGCACGAGAGAUAGCUGACGCACGUUGCCCCGCGGAUAUUCUACAGAGGAGUUUUGGUUCUGCUGUGUUAGCGGCUACGUACAGAGGCCUGUGCAAAGCUUGCUUGUUGAAGUCUAGAAAAUCUGGUGUUGUUGGAUGUCCAUUAUUGUUGCUGCUCUGGUCAUACGAGAGAUUCCCUACUGGACGACCCUAUGUCUACAUUGAUAAACCUUUUGGUUUGGAGGACUUAGCUGGGGCUUAUGUGCCUGCUAUCGGCGACUUACCUACUAUGGGUUCUGUUUGGGCACGGCGAGAGAGACAGUUUGCACAUAGUCAGGUUAGGGGAUGCUACCCGUCCUUCACGGCGCAGUUUGAUAGUUUGCACGAGGAUCAAGUUAUCUGGGAGCCAUACUCGGCUGAGGCUAUAUCAUCGAGGUACCCAGUUGGGAUUUCUGGAUUGUGCACUAGAGAUCGGCAUUUUUGGAUGACCAAGGCCAAGUUGGUGUUCGAUGUGACGGUUGAGGAGAUGUCUCUUCAUAGAGUAAUGAGACAGUUCGGUCUAUAUCAAGAGCCUGAGAUUCCAAAAAUUCCACAGUUGCCAGAGCACGUGCACAAGGACAGUCGCCUAGGAGGAAACAAGUCCAUGGAUUACUGGCUUAAGAGCAUUACCCCUUACGUUGACGAAUGGACUACCGCUGCGACAAAUACCUGGGGUGAGGGUCGGGCCUUUAACUGGCAAAUGUUCGGGUUGUAUCUGCAGCGUUACCGGCAUACAACAAGGAUCUACUUGGUUCCAUCAGCUGCUCCUGAUCAGAUCGAAGCCCCUCUCACCAGCGAUAUGUACCCAACUGCCUCUGUUGUGGGAACCAGACACCACGCGGGUGACUUGACAGUACAGGCGCGAGAGGAGGUUUCCGCUUUAAUGCGGCGCUUUCAGAGGGGAGAAACUAUCCCACCGCGAGAGGGCGUCUCAUGGUUGAGGCGUCUUGAUGACAAGCUACGGGGGAUUUACGCUGCUGUUACGUGUAGACGGUCUUCGGAUGUUGCACUUCCUCCUCCAGCACAUCGUCCGCCACGUCCCUCUGUACAGCAUUCAGAACCACGACCCUCUGUGCAACGUUCACAACCACGACCUUCUGUGCACCGUGCAGAACCUCAUCCUUCACAGCCAGGGAGCUCUUCUAGGCAUGAGCCACCUCCUUCACAGCCAGGGAGCUCUUCCUGGAAUGAGCCACCUCCUUCACAGCCAGGGAGCUCUUCCUGGCAUGAGCCACCUCCUUCACAGCCAGGGAGCUCUUCCUGGAAUGAGCCACCUCCUUCACAGCCAGGGAGCUCUUCCUGGAAUGAGCCACCUCCUUCACAGCCAGGGAGCUCUUACUGGCAUCAGCCACCUCCUUCACAGCCAGGGAGCUCUUACUGGCAUCAGCAGAUGGAACUAGGCGGCAACCUGUCGCAACCGUUCAUGCAUUCAGAGCAGUCACCCAUCCUUAGUGGUGGUGCUGAUUACUUUGAGGGCGACCGCGAGGAUGAUGACCAUGCUACAAACAUUUAUGGCUUCUCGCAGACAGUGUUUCACACUCCACCACCACCACCGACGCAGGAGACACAGACCGUGACAGACGAGGUUAACUAUGGUCGUGGUUAUCGCGAGCCUCGUCCACCGCCUCAGCGCUUAUCGCCUUCCGGUCCUCGCCCGAGGAAGACCCAGACUCGUCGCCGUCCCCCGCAGUGA
rnacentral:rRNA from 1 species